AUCGUGGCCUCGCAGACAUUCAUUUCCCCUGACCUGGCUGCUCUUUCUCCCUGUCUCCUGUGCUUGUUGGGUUAUCGAUUCAAGAGCUCUCCUCAUGGUGACUGGUUUCUUCAAAUAUACAUUAUUUUAUUGGGAGUUUAUCUUCAAAAAAGUUCUGUGAGAGCCCUUUAUAUCUUGGAUUGAGAGACUACAGAUUGGUUUUGCUGGUCCCUAGAAGUUUCAUUUGCUUUAAACCAGAUUUAAGUUAAUAUCUCCACAAGAUCAGGCAAUGCAUCUUUUAUUUACUCAGUGUUUAACAGUGUUUGACACCUACUGAGCGCUCACAUAAAUAUUGAAAAAAGAAACCUUUUAAAGUUAAGUAUUGAAACAUUUCCACAUCUUAUAUGUUCUGAGAUUCCUUUCCAGUAUGAGUUGCUAUGAACCGCAUUUGUUACUUAUUGCUAGUUGCAGCCAUGACC